GAGAUACGAGUGAUUUUAUUGGUAGAGGUUUAUUUUGAUUUUAAUGUUUCAUUGGUUAAAUUAAACGAUUAUUGUUACUUUUUAAUUUGCAUACUUUAUGGUGUAACAAUUUAUAUUCAUACUUACUUUGGAAAGAUCGGUUGUCUCUCGGAUAAGCUUUGUCUUCUUCUGUCUCUGUAACCAAUAUCCCUGAAAAAAGUUAGCGGACUACGAGUGAAUGGCGGACUUUUAAAUUUUUCCUCAUCAAAUUAAAUGAUCAUUGCGAUCGUCAACUUUCUCUCAUCCUACUAAUCUUUUUGUUUCGUUUGAGAAAGAUUGAAUUAGCAUUUACGAGUAGCACGUGGGUGUUAUUUUCAAUGGAGUGACACUUUUAGAAAGAUGUGAAUCUAGGAUAACAGUGUUGUUAAUAAAAUAUAAGUCCAGAAAGCAGCCACUCUAAAUUCUUGGCAAAAAUUCUUUUUUCUCAAUUCGGUGUUAGAUACGGAAGACAAGUUGAACUAGUUAUUAAAUACGAUAUGCAUAUGCAGGUUGUAUAAAUUGAAAUACAUUCGUUCAUUCAUUACUUGAAUCUUAAUAGAGAAAGUAUCAAGCACAUUGGAAUACUCGAUACAUGUUAAUUAUGUCACUGAAUUUAUUUUCAAGUUCCAUAUUAUUUCCUAGUGUCUAUAAUUGGUACUGAUAUUAACGGGGAUAUUUUAAUAUGGUUAUCCGAGACAUACGUGUUAAUACUGUGUAUUAGAACAAUAUAUAUUUUUAUGAGAUAUAAAUAUAUACAGGGUGUCUCGAAAGGUUAGAACCAAACUUAUACUAUGCGUUAAUGAGGUCUAGUGGGUCAACAAAGUUCAUACAAACUUAUGUCAGAAAAUACUUUGCAGAAUAGUUAGAAGAGUGGAUGCAAAGUUAGGAUGUAACAUGCGAUACACGCAUACAACUUCUGUUAUAAACAACUGUUUUCGUGAGAAUUAAAAAGAGAAAGAUCUUACGAUCUUUAUUUUUACGUGGCUAAAGAUCACAGGGGGUCAUUCGAGCGAGUCUAAGAUCUUGAGAAAAAUAAAUCAAAUGAGCGAAUAACAACGGAAUCUGUUCUAACGAUCGGACUGCUACUUCAUUAUGUUUGAAAACA
rnacentral:lncRNA from 1 species